GACGAACGCUGGCGGCGUGCUUAACACAUGCAAGUCGAGCGGUAAGGCCCUUUCGGGGGUACACGAGCGGCGAACGGGUGAGUAACACGUGGGCGACCUACCCUCAGCUCUGGGAUAAGCCUGGGAAACUGGGUCUAAUACCGGAUAUGACUUCCUGCUGCAUGGUGGGGAGUGGAAAGUUUUUCGCGUGGGAGUGGCCCGCGGCCUAUCAGCGUUGUUGGUGGGGUGAU
rnacentral:rRNA from 1 species